UCUCAUCAGUCCCGUCUCUCAUUCAGUCCCCUGUCUCUCUCAUCAUCAGUCCCCUGUCUCUCUCUCAUCAGUCCCCUGUCUCUCAUCAGUCCCCUGUCUCUCUCUCAUCAGUCCCCUGUCUCUCAUCAGUCCCCUGUCUCUCUCUCAUCAGUCCCCUGUCUCUCAUCAGUCCCCUGUCUCUCUCUCAUCAGUCACCUGUCUCUCAUCAGUCCCCUGUCUCUCAUCAGUCCCCUGUCUCUCUCUCAUCAGUCCCCUGUCUCUCAUCAGUCACCCUGUCUCUCAUCAGUCCCUGUCUCUCGCUCAUCAGUCCCCUGUCUCUCUCUCAUCAGUCCCCUGUCUCUCUCCUCCUCAGUCCCCGUCUCUCAUCAGUCCCCUGUCUCUCAUCAGUCACCUGUCUCUCUCUCAUCAGUCCCCUCUCUCAUCAGUCCCUGUCUCUCAUCAGUCACCUCUCUCAUCAGUCCCCUGUCUCUCAUCAGUCCCGUCUCUCAUCAGUCACCUGUCUCUCAUCAGUCACCUGUCUCUCAUCAGUCCCCUGUCUCUCUCUCAUCAGUCCCCUGUCUCUCAUCAGUCCCCUGUCUCUCAUCAGUCACCUGUCUCUCUCUCAUCAGUCCCCUGUCUCUCAUCAGUCACCUGUCUCUCAUCAGUCCCCUGUCUCUCUCUCAUCAGUCCCCUGUCUCUCUCUCAUCAGUCCCCUGUCUCUCUCUCAUCAGUCACCUGUCUCUCAUCAGUUCCCUGUCUCUCAUCAGUCACCUCUCUCUCAUCAGUCCCCUGUCUCUCUCUCAUCAGUCCCCUGUCUCUCUCUCAUCAGUCACCUGUCUCUCAUCAGUCCCCUGUCUCUCUCUCAUCAGUCCCCUGUCUCUCUCUCAUCAGUCCCCUGUCUCUCAUCAGUCCCCUGUCUCUCUCUCAUCAGUCCCCUGUCUCUCUCUCAUCAGUCCCCUGUCUCUCAUCAGUCCCCUGUCUCUCAUCAGUCCCCUGUCUCUCUCUCAUCAGUCCCCUGUCUCUCAUCAGUCACCUGUCUCUCAUCAGUCCCCUGUCUCUCAUCAGUCCCCUGUCUCUCAUCAGUUCCCUGUCUCUCAUCAGUCCCCUGUCUCUCUCUCAUCAGUCCCCUGUCUCUCAUCAGUCCCCUGUCUCUCAUCAGUCCCCUGUCUCUCUCUCAUCAGUCCCCUGUCUCUCAUCAGUCACCUGUCUCUCAUCAGUCCCCUGUCUCUCAUCAGUCCCCUGUCUCUCAUCAGUCACCUCUCUCUCAUCAGUUACCUGUCUCUCAUCAGUUCCCUGUCUCUCAUCAGUCCCCUGUCUCUCAUCAGUCCCCUGUCUCUCUCUCAUCAGUCCCCUGUCUCUCAUCAGUCCUGUCUGUCCUCACCUGUCGAGCAUCUUGGUGCUGGCCCGCUCCAGUUUCUCCAGUAUCUGGGGCAGCUGAGUGUCAUCGUCACAGGCAGAACCCCAGCCCAGAACUCUGGCCAGGUCGUUGCCGGUGCCCAGAGGGAGAACUCCCAGCUGACACUGGAAACACAGGCUAACCGGUUAGCUGCAGGUCUUCAGACCCCCCCGCACAGGUGUGCUGCCCGUUCACCUGUGCGUACGUGGCUGGUACCUGUUUGUGCAGCGUGA
ensembl:lncRNA